ACGGAUCCUUCGGGAUAGUGGCGGACGGGUGAGUAACANNNGGGAACGUGCCCUUUGGUUCGGAACAACUCAGGGAAACUUGAGCUAAUACCGGAUGUGCCCUUCGGGGGAAAGAUUUAUCGCCAUUGGAGCGGCCCGCGUCUGAUUAGCUAGUUGGUGAGGUAAAGGCUCACCAAGGCGACGAUCAGUAGCUGGUCUGAGAGGAUGAUCAGCCACAUUGGGACUGAGACACGGCCCAAACUCCUACGGGAGGCAGCAGUGGGGAAUCUUGCGCAAUGGGCGAAAGCCUGACGCAGCCAUGCCGCGUGAAUGAUGAAGGUCUUAGGAUUGUAAAAUUCUUUCACCGGGGACGAUAACGACGGUACCCGGAGAAGAAGCCCCGGCUAACUUCGUGCCAGCAGCCGCGGUAAUACGAAGGGGGCUAGCGUUGCUCGGAAUUACUGGGCGUAAAGGGAGCGUAGGCGGACUGUUAAGUUAGAGGUGAAAGCCCAGGGCUCAACCUUGGAAUUGCCUUUGAUACUGGCAGUCUUGAGUACGGAAGAGGUAUGUGGAACUCCGAGUGUAGAGGUGAAAUUCGUAGAUAUUCGGAAGAACACCAGUGGCGAAGGCGACAUACUGGUCCGUUACUGNNNNUGAGGCUCGAAAGCGUGGGGAGCAAANNNGAUUAGAUACCCUGGUAGUCCACGCCGUANACGAUGAGUGCUAGUUGUCGGCNNNCAUGCAUGUCGGUGACGCAGCUAACGCAUUAAGCACUCCGCCUGGGGAGUACGGUCGCAAGAUUAAAACUCAAAG
rnacentral:rRNA from 1 species